AAUUUUUUAGUAUAAUUAGUAUAUUUAAUUUCCAAUUAAAUGGUUUAUUUAAAAAUUG
rnacentral:tRNA from 1 species